rnacentral:rRNA from 1 species
GACGAACGCUGGCGGCGUGCUUAACACAUGCAAGUCGAGCGGAGCGGCGGACGGGUGAGUAAUGCCUAGGAAUCUGCCUGGUAGUGGGGGAUAAGGUUCGGAAACGGGCGCUAAUACCGCAUACUAUCAGAUGAGCCUAGGUCGGAUUAGCUAGUUGGUGGGGUAAAGGCCUACCAAGGCGACGAUCCGUAACUGGUCUGAGAGGAUGAUCAGUCACACUGGAACUGAGACACGGUCCAGACUCCUACGGGAGGCAGCAGUGGGGAAUAUUGGACAAUGGGCGAAAGCCUGAUGCAGCCAUGCCGCGUGUGUGAAGAAGGUCUUCGGAUUGUAAAGCACUUUAAGUUGGGAGGUGUUACCAGCAGAAGAAGCGCCGGCUAACUACGUGCCAGCAGCCGCGGUAAUAC